ensembl:lincRNA
GGGCUCCCUUGCAACCAGGCAAGGGGGUGCCCACAGAUCCUGGGGUCACGCAAGAUGGAGUCCCCCACCCGCUUCAUCUCCCCACCUGUCCCACCUGUCCCCACCUCCCUCGACAAGUUUUUUUUAAGGUUUAUUUAUUUUUCUCCCCUUCCCCCAGUUGUCUGUUCUCUGUGUCUAUUUGCUGUGUGUUCUUCUUUGUCUGCUUCUGUUGUUGUCAGCAGCACGGGAAUCUGUGUUUCUUUUUGUUGCAUCAUCUUCUGUCAGUUCUCCGUGGGUGCGGUGCCAUUCUUGGGCCGACUGCACUUUCACGCUGGGCGGCUCUCCUUAUCGGGUGCACUCCUUGCGCGGGGGACACCCCUGUGUGGCAGGGCACUCCUUGCGCGCAUCAGCACUGUGCGUGGGCCAGCUGCACACGGGUCAAGGAGGCCCGGGGUUUGAACCGCGGACCUCCCGUGUGGUAGACGGACGCCCUAACCGCUGGGCCAAGUCCGCUUCCUCAACAUGUUCUUAGCAGCAUUUCCAUCUGGACCCCUCCCCACCCCUGCAGCCUCCGCCGCAGUCCAGCCUCAAGCCCUCCCCGCAGACGCGUCUUCCCUGCGUCCCCACCCCCGCCCCUUCCCGGGCUCCCAGAGGCACCUGUACCGUGAAAGCCCACCCAUUUCCAGGGAGGCCCCCUUGUGGCCCGAGCCCCCUCCGCAGCCCCCUGGACACGCCUUCCUCCACGCCCCUGCGGGGUUCAGCGCUCCACAUGCGUUUCCUCUCUCACUGCUGCGCCUCACGCAUUCUGAAAGCUGGGUGUCCCGGGCUUGGUGUUUGGCUGGAGCCGGGCACUGCCCUGCCUGGCGGUCACUUAAGGGCUCGGGAUAUGGAGACGCUUUGGGGAGGCCUGCAGAGGAGGAGGAGAGGACAGGAGGCCGGAGCCGAGGUGGAAGGUUCUGGAACCUCCACGUUGGUGCCGGCUGGCUGCUGAACCUGCAGCAUCUGACCUUAGGAGCCCAGAUCGGAGAGGGGGAGUUUGGAGGUGAGUGGGGGGGCAUCUGGGUGAGGGGGGGCUCAGGAAAGUGGGGGUGGGGGUGUCGGGGCUUAGGAGCACACAGAGCCCAAUCCAAGCCCAGACUCAGGCCCCAGCUCGCUUGCAGCCGAGCAGAGGGGACGCCUCCCUGGGCCUCGGUUUCCCCCCUGUAAAAAGCGUGUGACGGCCACGGUCACAGGAAGUCACGACUCGCGCGCAGGGCCCGGCUCAAGUGGGCACCCAUAAAUGUCACUCCCUCCUUCACUUGGUGCCCCAGCCCAGCUGGUCCCUCUGCCUGCAAGGCCGGGCCCUGGAAUGAUGAUUCUGGAAGGUUCCGGGGCCGUCUCCCGCCAGGGCCCGCGGGUAAACGUUUUUGGCUUCGCGUGCCUGACGGCCGCUCACGAUGUCUUGUGUCCCGGGAGCGACCAGAGAUGAGGGGCACGCAAGGGCGCGGCUGUGCACCAAUAAAACGUUAUUUAGGGAUGCCGAAACGGGAGUUUAUUACCGUUUUCACGAGUCGGCCAAUAGUCUGCUGCUUUCUAUUUCUUUUUUUCCUCGCUGUUAAAAAAAUGGAGACGCCGUUCUCAGCUCCCAGAUUGUCCAGAAACAGGCGACAGGUGGGACCUGGGUGGGGGGGGGGGGCUGGAGUUCGCAGACCCUCGUCCAUGGCUUAGAGACCCAGAGUUCCUGGGAAUGGAUGUAGCCC